CCUCCUCUCAAAUUUUCCUCUCUCAUCAUCUCUCUUGUUCUUUUCUCGCAACGUUUUUGUACCUCAUUCUCCUGCAACAUCUCCUGUGGAUUAGUGCGUUGGUGUUGUGGUCGCUGCGGAGUAACGUCCUGUACGACAUGCACAGGUAGCUCGUUAUUUUCCACGUAGUGCACUGGCUCUUCCACGUCAGCAAGUAUCCCGAAUCUUGAUCCCCUGUUUUCCGGCCGGGAAGCUUCCCCUUUGUUGUCUCUGUUUUUUCGUUGCCGAUGAGUCUUUUGAACAAUCCGCCAUUGCUCUUGUUUUUGGCUAUAAGAGUUCUCAUUUGCCUGAUCAUGGUUCUGGACAUUAGUGUGCCUUGUUUUUAGAUUCACAUCAGUUUCCUCUGCUUUUUCUCUCUUCGGACAAGCUUCAAAUCUAUGCCUGUAAGUCCCGCAAUUGGUGCAUAACAUAUGUAAACCUUCAUAUUCUAGAUAAUAGUCUUCACCGUCUAAUGAAAAGCCAGACAUAAGUUGCUUUC